ACCUGAGCCGAAGGCAGACGCUUAAUUGACUGAGCCACCCAGGCGCCCCCUCAAAACUGUUCAAAGUGAAAAGCGAAAGUCACCCCCAUUGCUCUUCCCAGAAUAGUCCCUAUCCUCUGGGAGAAAGUCCCCCAGGAUGAAGGCUUCGGGACUGUGUCCAUGGACCCAGGGCUCCAGUUCUGUCUCCCGGAGCACUGGUCCCUCCCUUCUGCGGCACAGUGUCAGGAGGGUCUCUCAUUUCAAAUACAGUAAAUCUUUGGAUUCAUUGGCAGGUUCCACUGUGGACAGUGCUUCAGUGACUUGCAAAGGAGGUUUCCUGUGUAUGACCUUGAGGAAUAUAUGUGACCUCUGUGUCGCUCUGUUUCUUAUCUGUAAUGUGUAUGGGGGGGUUAGGACACCAUGGUCCUUAAGCACCUGUUGCUCUACCCCAUCUCUGUGUCUAGGCUUCUCCCCCUCAACUGAGAUUUCUGGUUUCUUUUUCUGCUAGUAUCAUUUUCUUUUUUUGCCCCGCAGAAGGGCUUGUGUCGCCGUGCAGAGAUGAGAGAGUUGGAGUCACCUUUUGGCUGGCUCCCUCUGCGACACUACCAAUCAUGUAGCCCUUUGGGACUCUAGUGUCCUCAUCUGAGAAGGGACAAUCUGAGUGAGGGACCAGGACCGUCUGAUCUCCAGGAGACUUUCUGGUUCUGACACCCGUUGAUUCUCCUAUCCAAGGGUCACUCCUCUGAUCCUAAUUGGACAGUGGCUCAAGGCAGGUUUUUGCUGCUUUCAGCACAGGGUGGAGAUGGUAGAUUCCGGGCAGGGGACCCACUGGGGGAGCCGGCCCCUCUUCUAGAGUCCCUGAGUCAGCUCCUCAUGCCCUGACUUCAUUUUUUCAUCCGGAGUGUUGUGAAAUCCCAGAACAUCACCCACGCCCACUCUCAACACUGAGUACAUUUGGAGCGCAUUCCAACACCAAGUAAGAGACAUUUGGAGAUGACAUCUCACCUGGGAGCUUGGGAACCCCUGCUCCUUGUCCUUGUGUGUGAUUUGAAGGGGGCUAGGAUGGUGCCUGUCCCAUGUCCCAGGAACCCUCUGCACCAUACCAGGACAGUCAGUUCCCCUCCUGAUGUCCCGCAUUAAGGCCUGGCCAACUUCCCGAGAGGGCUAAGGAGCCAGCAGAGUGAUGAGACUCAGAAUCAGCUGGGGUGCCUGAGGAAUGCAGAUUCCUGGGCCCCACUCUGGAGAGCCUGAGUCCGUAGAUCGAAAUUGCGUUUAUCAAGGCCUCUGGGGCUGUAGCAGCGGCCAGGAAGAAAACCGCCCCCUCUGAAAGUUGUUUUUGGGACUGUUCUUUGGAGCAUUGUUCUAAAAAUGGGAAAUUACAUACUGUCGGGCCAAAGGAAACAAACACGGGCAGUUAAAGGCAUACCUUCCUCGAGGUGGCUUUUAGAGCCCAGCCCGUUCUGGGUGUAGGGCUGCCGCAGGUGCAUCUCUUCUUUUCUACGGGGAUCGGGCGUGGGCUUAUAUUUGUAACCAGGGUGGGCUUGGGCAACUACCGGGCUCUGGUGAUUGUCUUUUACUCCUUCAUCCAAUAAACAUCUAUCGAGCAUC